CGUAGGGUGCGAGCGUUGUCCGGAAUUACUGGGCGUAAAGAGCUUGUAGGCGGUUCGUCGCGUCGAUUGUGAAAACUUGGGGCUCAACUCCAAGCUUGCAGUCGGUACGGGCGAACUAGAGUACUUCAGGGGAGACUGGAAUUCCUGGUGUAGCGGUGAAAUGCGCAGAUAUCAGGAGGAACACCGGUGGCGAAGGCGGGUCUCUGGGAAGUAACUGACGCUGAGAAGCGAAAGCGUGGGUAGCGAACAGGAUUAGAUACCCUGGUAGUCCACGCCGUAAACGGUGGGUACUAGGUGUGGGUUUCCUUCCACGGGAUCCGUGCCGUAGCUAACGCAUUAAGUACCCCGCCUGGGGAGUACGGCCGCAAGGCUA
rnacentral:rRNA from 1 species